CGUUGCGGGUGGAAACAUAAGCUCGCCUUGAAGGCAGCUGCGAAAACGGUUUACGUUUUAGGACAACGCAGAAGGGAAAGUUCUCCUCAAGUGGCCACUCGGCUUGGAACGGGGAGAGAUCUGAGAGCUGUGCAGCCACAGAAACUAACCCUGGCUAGCAGGGACUUAUACAUGUUAAUGAAGGAAACUCUGCCGGGUAAAUUACUUAAUGUGUCUGCCUACGCUUCACCAUCUAGUCAAAGAUGGUUCAUGUUCCGAAAUGGUUUGUGCCACCUUGGCUCUGCCUGGAUUCUGCGCUGCUGCACAGUUCACCUGCCCCUGGCACAAGUCAGAGCAUCUCCGUAGCACUGAUUAUCACCUUGAACAUUUCCCAUCCCUUACAUUAGUCUGUGUGCACCUACCGAGCAGGUUUAGUUGAGCCCAAACUUGUAGGUAAGAUUCCAAGACUUUAGUGUAUCAGAAGGAGAGGCAGGUCUGCAGAGAAGGUUUUGUGGCAAAGGUACUGGACAAGGACUUAAGAAGUCUGGAUUUUGGUUUCAACUCUGCUAUAGCUAGUAAGGUGUAGCUUUGGGCAAGUCAAUCUGUCUGUGCCUCACUUUCCCAUCUGUAAAAUGGUGAUUUAAAAGAGUUUCCUGCCUCAGUGGGUGUUGUAUGGAUAUCUUCAUUCAUGUUUACGAGGUGCUCAGAAAGGAAUAUGUAAAAGGAUGCCAAACUCUUUAUCCUGUGAAGAGUGAUGCAGACAAAGUGCCAGCUAUUCAGCAGUGACUCUGCAAUUAAAGGGCUAUGAAUACACGACUUUCAGGUCCUGGAAAGAAGCCCUUCUGCAUGAUUACAGUUCUGAUAUCACAUUGCAUGUAACUUGACUCUCAGAGAAUUUUGGUUUCUAUAUCAUGGAACACUAGGAUCCCUGAAUAUUGCUCUUCAGUUAGCCAUGGGAGUCACUAAAGAGUAAGGUCUGAAGAACUCCCUCUCCUAAAAAACAAUCAAGAGUUGAAUGCUUUGGAUCCAGUGUUCCUAAAUCUUGCUGAUCAGUUAGGACUGACCUAGAAUCUCAAGGCCAAAUUGAAGAGAGUGGAGUAUGCUAUCUUGCAGAAUGAGUAGAAACCUCAGGCCAAGGAACCAGAAUAUUUCCUGUUUUUCCAGGAUCAUCAUGCAGAGCUUUGUCAUCUUGAAGCACUGCCUGAUCAAGGUGGUUUAGGUACCCUUCUUACAACAUUCAUGCAGGAGCUUCAGCCCUGAUUCAGUGAUGGACAAGUACAUUUUUAAGUGCUUUUCUGAACCAGUGCCUUAUUUUCCAAUGUCUUAUCUAGUAUUGUAACAGACAUUAGAUUUCCUGGCUCCUCAUAUUUUUAGCAGCUCCAUAAGCAAAGUUUCCUCUUGCUUUUUAUUAACAGGUGACCUAAGGUAUGAUAUCUUGGUCAACAGGAGAGAGUUGAAACCUCAGUUAAGUCUCUAAACCUGGCUGGAAAAAUCCAUCAAAACAAUUUUAAUAGGACCUGCAUAAAGUUACUUAGAUGUCCCAGAUUUUCAGUUCAUCUAUGUGAAAGGGGCUGUCUACUCAAAAUUCACUGAAAGCUGCUCUGAGGUUUUGAAUGUAAGCAAAGAUGGUCAACAGGCAGAAUGCAGAACUACCACAUUCCACAGACAGUACUUUUACCAUGGCUGGCUGUUUGUAUGUAAGUAAACCAAAGGUUAAGAUAGGUUCAAGAGCAAGAUUUUCUUUACAGGUAACGUCUAGCCUAUAAAUCCUGGGUAAAAUUUUCAAAAGUGCCUAAGAGAAUAUCUUAGACAUGAGAAUAUCGUAAAGAAAACAAUUCAAAUACAAAAGCAUCUAACAGCAUAUGGGACAGCCUAUCUCACCACCUGGCAGUUGAAUUUAAAAGGACUGGUAGCUUGAUUUUUCAAUUUUGAAUACCCUUGGCUUCAUGGUUUUGGGGAUCAAUGUGAAAAUCUCAUGCGGUGACCCCAUGGCUUCUUUAACUUGGGUUGUGGUAAAGUGAACGAGAAGGAGAACAUCACGAGUGAUCUGGUGUGGCAUAUAGAAGAAUGCACAUAUUGAUAUUUGAGAUCCUUCUCUGAGAGUUCCAGGUAUUAAGACAGCCUGACAACAAAUCAAGCUUAAUAAACAGUCCAUUUUUUGUACAGUAUAUUAACAAAACUGAAGGUAGUCUGUUAGUAUAGAACUACAUCAGGAAAAUAUGAAAUUAUAGCUGCUGCCUUAGCUUCCAGCACCUGGGACAAAAUAUGACUUCUGAUGCUUAUUAACAUAAAAAUAAGCAGCAUCCUCAUACUCUCCCAGAUACAGUUUAAUAGCUGCAGUUGAAAGUUGACACAUCAUUCAAACCAUAUGGAGAAAGACAUGUUAACUUAAUAGUACAUUCAAACUGUUUAAAGUUGUUUCAGGAUAUAUUUUUACUGCAGAAUUAACGUGGGUUCUUAUUUGGGUGUUGUCCCUAACUUUGCUCCCACCCACACAUAAAAACCUCUGUCCUGAGUUUGGGCGUGAUUUUAAUCCAGACUAACCAUCUUAUCUGGGGCUAUAGGCUAAAGCCCAAGUGCUGCUUUCACUCGAACUAGUAACCUGCACACUUUGCAGCGAGGAUGCAGGCUAAAUCACUUGAAUGUUGACAGUCCUCCGAUGCAUCCUACAAUUCCCCCCAUGAAUGCAGAAGGACAGACAAGUUAUCCCACUAUUUAUCAGAAAUAAAUUAUACAGUGACGCACCUUACUAAAAACCACUGGAUAUAUCCAGCAGUCCUAGCAACAAACACAAGUAAGUGCAUCUAUUAAUAGUAAGGACAGAGUAACUAGUGGCUGCUCACAACCCGGGGUAGGAAAACCCAAUGCUCAGAUUUGGGAGCUGAUCACAUGUGCUUAAACUGAAAGCUGUUCAUACACCUCACAGAAUAAAAAGGUUUAGUGGCCAACAGCUGAUCCAGAUGCUGUCAUAGUUAUGGAAUACAAACUACAAAUAUUAUUAGAAAAAAAGCCCUGCCUUUCCAUUCAGCAUGAUAAUUAAAUGAGGGAAAAAUUAUCCAUUGAAGAAAAGUGUUCUAUUCAGCAAUUCUGGUUUAGUAUAGGGUAUCUUUUGGACUAUAACACAUACUAGAGGAAAAAAUCAGACCUAAGUUUCAAAAUAAAUAUGAUUUUCUUACUGGGAUAAUUUCUAUACCAGGGAUAAAACCCCAACUCCUAUCUUGCAGAUACACAUUUUUACUAUAAACUAAAAUGUCAGUUACUCUACUAGUGAUAGUUUUGCCCUCAUUUGGAAGAGCCCUAUAAGUUAAGUACUUUUCAUUUUUAUAUACUGAAAUAUUGUAUGAACAUAUUGUGACGAACUCAAAUGUUAUAAGUCUGUAAAUAUUUUCUACCUCAUCCUUGGCUGAUAAAAUAUGGUGUUUUUCAAAAGUGCUGGGCAACCAGCAGCUCUCAUUGACAUAAAUAGGGAAAAUGAAUAUAGAUGACAUAGCAUAAGAAGUUAUAGAACAAUCUAAGUACCAAACAUUAUUAAAAGA